CCCAGACUCAGCUUUGAGCUGGCACGGAGGAACCUCUCUGCCCUGCAAAACCUCUCUCUCUGUGUGACUGCUUUGCGAAUCAUGGAUUUUCCUGCUGCAGUGGAAGAAAGGAAAAAUGAAUAAUAACUGAAACUCUCUUUCUUGCCUGAGCUGUCUCUGACUGCAUGAAAUAAUGGGGUUCCGUUCAGGAAAGGAAUGGCACUCAGACUAUCCUCACAGCUGAAGAAGAUCUUUAUAAAGGAAGAGGAGAAGGAGACAGGACACGACUGAAGAGUUCACUGGUGAGCUGAUGAGGUUCAUCCUGUGCAUCUACUACAGGCAGCUGCAGGGAUCACCAUGAUGUGAGCAGUCAUCUAAAAGGGAGAGGACCUGGAGAGUCAGUGGAUGUUCCCUAUCCAGCCUGAGAAGUUUUGGUUGAACAAUAACAUCUGUUCUA